rnacentral:rRNA from 1 species
CAGACGAGGAGCUUGCUCCUUUGACGUUAGCGGCGGACGGGUGAGUAACACGUAGGUAACCUACCUAUAAGACUGGGAUAACUUCGGGAAACCGGAGCUAAUACCGGAUAAUAUUUCGAACCGCAUGGUUCGAUAGUGAAAGAUGGCUUUGCUAUCACUUAUAGAUGGACCUGCGCCGUAUUAGCUAGUUGGUAAGGUAACGGCUUACCAAGGCAACGAUACGUAGCCGACCUGAGAGGGUGAUCGGCCACACUGGAACUGAGACACGGUCCAGACUCCUACGGGAGGCAGCAGUAGGGAAUCUUCCGCAAUGGGCGAAAGCCUGACGGAGCAACGCCGCGUGAGUGAUGAAGGUCUUCGGAUCGUAAAACUCUGUUAUUAGGGAAGAACAAACGUGUAAGUAACUGUGCACGUCUUGACGGUACCUAAUCAGAAAGCCACGGCUAACUACGUGCCAGCAGCCGCGGUAAUACGUAGGUGGCAAGCGUUAUCCGGAAUUAUUGGGCGUAAAGCGCGCGUAGGCGGUUUUUUAAGUCUGAUGUGAAAGCCCACGGCUCAACCGUGGAGGGUCAUUGGAAACUGGAAAACUUGAGUGCAGAAGAGGAAAGUGGAAUUCCAUGUGUAGCGGUGAAAUGCGCAGAGAUAUGGAGGAACACCAGUGGCGAAGGCGACUUUCUGGUCUGUA